rnacentral:rRNA from 1 species
UACGUGAGGGGCGAACGUUGUUCGGUGUCACUGGGCUUAAAGGGCGCGUAGGUGGUUGUGUAAGUAACGUGUGAAAUCCCUCGGCUUACCCGGGGAAUUGCAUGUUAUACUGCAUGACUUGAGGAUCAGAGGGGAAUGGGGAACUCCAGGUGUAGCGGUGAAAUGCGCAGAUAUCUGGGGGAAGGCCGGCGGCGAAGGCGCCAUUCUGGCUGAUUCCUGACACUGAGGCGCGAAAGCGUGGGGAGCAAACAGG